UACGUAGGGUGCAAGCGUUGUCCGGAAUUAUUGGGCGUAAAGAGCUCGUAGGCGGUUUGUCGCGUCGAAUGUGAAAACCCGGGGCUCAACCCCGGGCCUGCAUUCGAUACGGGCAGACUAGAGUUCGGUAGGGGAGUCUGGAAUUCCUGGUGUAGCGGUGGAAAUGCGGCAGAUAUCAAGGAGGAACACCGGGUGGCGAAGGCGGGGUCUCUGGGCCGUAACUGACGCUGAGGAGCGAAAGCAUGGGGAG
rnacentral:rRNA from 1 species